AACCAUAGAAACCUGCGGAGUACCUGCGGAGGGAUCAUUAACGAGUUAGGGUCGUUCUGGCCCAGACUUCCAACCCUUUGCUUACCACACCAUGUUGCUUUGGCGGGUCCGCCCUUAAAAAUUAGGGGCCGCCGGAGGUUUUUUUUAGAGCCUCUGGUCCGUACCCGCCAGUAGCCUUUAUUAAAUUCUUUUUUAAACUGUGUCGUCUGAGUGGCAUUUUUAAAAUCGUUUUAAAACUUU
rnacentral:misc_RNA from 1 species